rnacentral:miRNA from 1 species
AGAACUGGAGUUUGUUGACUC